CCUACGGGUGGCUGCAGUGGGGAAUUUUGGGCAAUGGGCGCAAGCCUGACCCAGCAACGCCGCGUGAAGGAUGAAAUCCCUCUGGGAUGUAAACUUCGAAAGUCGGGAAAGAAAUCGCCAUGGUUAACACCCGUGGUGGAUGACGGUACCCGACGUAAGCCCCGGCUAACUACGUGCCAGCAGCCGCGGUAAUACGUAGGGGGCAAGCGUUGUUCGGAAUUGCGCGUCGUAAAGGGCGCAAGUCGGGCGUGAAAGCCCGGGGCUCAACCCCGGAACUGCUUUCGAAACUGCCAAGCUAGAGUACGGAAGGGGCAACUGGAAUUCCCAGUGUAGCGGUGAAAUGCGUAGAUAUUGGGAAGAACACCGGAGGCGAAGGCGGGUUGCUGGGCCGAUACUGACGCUGAGGCGCGAAAGCCAGGGGAGCAAACGGGAUUAGAUACCCUGGUAGUC
rnacentral:rRNA from 1 species